CAUACGGGGAAGCAUAAUAGUUCAGAAUGUUCAAAAUAUUGUGGAAACUAUUGAUUAGGACGUGUUUCAGGCAAGAGAAACGACAUAUACGUUGGACUGCUGAAUGAGACCUCAUGAUAGGAUCGUGUAAAAAAUGAAAACAUCUGGAUUCGUUGGUAUGAAUGCCCUUUGGACUUUGAUGAAGAACAAGUAAUCAGUGGAGUGCACCAUCUGUUGCAUUUGGCACAAUAGGCGAUGCUGAAUAAAGAGCGAUAAGAUUUUUUCAUACCAAGAAAAAAAAAUUGUAAUUUAAAAUUCUCAGCGAAUCGGAGAAAUAAUCCAGACAAAUGAUGAAUGAUAAAAGUUCUGCACGAGAAAGCUACCACGAAGUCAAGUGGUUAAAACGAAAAAUAAAACAUAACUUAAAUGACACUUAUUGUUAACAAAAUAUUUUCGACGCAUUAGAUUUCAA